AGAGUUUGAUCAUGGCUCAGAACGAACGCUGGCGGCAGGCUUAACACAUGCAAGUCGAACGAGAAGCCGGACUUCGGUCUGGUGGAGAGUGGCGCACGGGUGAGUAACGCGUGGGGAUUUACCCAGCAGUACGGGAUAACAUCGGGAAACCGGUGCUAAUACCGCAUACGCCCUUCGGGGGAAAGAUUUAUCGCUGUUGGAUGAACCCGCGUAAGAUUAGAUAGUUGGUGGGGUAAUGGCCUACCAAGUCGACGAUCUUUAGCUGGUCUGAGAGGAUGAUCAGCCACACUGGAACUGAGACACGGUCCAGACUCCUACGGGAGGCAGCAGUGGGGAAUAUUGGACAAUGGGCGCAAGCCUGAUCCAGCCAUGCCGCGUGAGUGAUGAAGGCCUUAGGGUUGUAAAGCUCUUUCAUCGGUGAAGAUAAUGACGGUAACCGAAGAAGAAGCCCCGGCUAACUCCGUGCCAGCAGCCGCGGUAAUACGGAGGGGGCUAG
rnacentral:rRNA from 1 species